ACAUCAAAAGUUAAUUCUCUUCACAGAUGCUGCCUUCAAGGGAACAAGGUUGCUCGACAAUUCUCUCGAGGAUAAGCUUUAUUUUAAGAAAGCAUCUUCAGAAAGCUUUUGUCUAAUCUCCCAUCAUGCAACAUAUUAGUGACCAAACUUAUUGUUGAAGCAUCUCCACAGAACCCACAACUCCUCAUUUCAUUGAUGAGUUCGACUGAUGUUACUUCGUCACCAUCUCUAAGAUAUGCCCUUAUCAGCGUAUUAUAUGGACCGCUAUUUGGGAUAGGCCCGUCUUCUUUCAUUUUACUGAAUAAGGCAUAUGCAUCCUUCUUUAAGCCUUUCCUACAAAAUCCCGAGAUCAUUGUAUUGUAGGUUACAACAUCAGGCUUCACUCCUUUAAGGUUGAGGCUGCAAAACAAAUCCCACGCAUUUUCCACCUUACCAGCUUUGCACAUUCCUUCAAUGAUGAUGUUAUAUGUAACAAUACUAAGUUUGAUUCCACUCUUCUGCAUAUCCUGAAAUAUGACCAAUGCUUUCUCUAGUUUCUCGUUGUUACAAAGCCCAUGUAGCAAAUUGCUGUAUGUCACAAUAUCACGAGGCACACCAUCAGAAACCAUCUGUUUGAAUAAUUCUUGGGCAUUAUCACAAUCGCCAGCUUGGAAAUACCCUUGGAUAAGAGUGGUAUACGUGAUUGUGUCACCGACAAUUCCUCUUAGAGACAUCUCCCUGAAGAGUUCCAUACCAUCUUCUACUCUCUUAGACUUGCAUAAUCCAUUUAUGAGAGUACUAUAGGUCACUACAUUCGGGAGAAUACCUCUGCUAACCAUCGAAUCAAACAUCUCCUUGGCCUCCUCUAGACGAUCAUGCAUGCAAAACCCGUUGAUCAAUGCAUUGUACGUGAAACUAUUAGGAUAUAUAGACCUUCUGAUCAUCUCCUUGUAUAAUUCCUCAGCCUCCAAAAGCUUUCCCUCUUUCACAAACGCAUCGAUCAACGCAUUGAAGGUGACAACAUUGGGGUUGAUUUUCCUUUCAAUCAUAUCGCUGAGUAAUCGAGAGGCAUCACUCCAUCUUCCGUAAUUACAAAGGCAGCUUAUAAGGGAGCUGUAGGUAAAAACAUUUGGCUUAAUUCCUUUGUUCUCCAUUUCAUUGAAUAAGUCGAGUGCGUCAUUUACAUCUCUGUAUUUGCAAAGACCAUCGAUCGUUGUGCUGUAGAUUACAACAUCUGGCUCUAAUUUCCCUGCUUCCAUCUUCUUGAGCAGAUUUAAAGCCAAAUCCAUAUCACCUCUCUUACAAAUCCCAUUUAUCACCGCACCAUAAGUAAGCAGAUCUGGUUGACAUCCUUUCUCAACCAUUCGAUCAACUAAAUCCACUGCUUGAGAAGCUUUGUUGUGGAGAAAAAGCCCAUGAAUCAGAGUUGUAAACGUGAUGGUGUUAGGUUGAUAUCCCAAUUCCACCAUUUGAUCAAGCAGUGAUAUUGCAUCCGAAAUCUUAUUCCCGUGACAGUAUCCAUUGAGAAGCGAAGAAAGCGUGACAAUGCUAGGCUCAAACCCGAGUUUCAUCAUCUUGCCAAGAAUAGCUAAAGCAAGAGGGAGCGCAGAGGUGCGGCAGAAACAGUUUAUCAAAAUAUUGUAUGUAAAGAGAUCAUGUCGAAUCCCCAACUUUUGCAUCUCUUCUCCCAUAGAGAUGACAACAUCAAACUUCUUCAUCUUAGCAAUAGCACUCAACAAUUUACUGAAGUCGAUAAUGGAAGGAAAAGGACGAGACUUUACCAUCUCACCGAACAAACCAAUUGCAUCAUCUAACUUAAUAUCUUUUAGAAACCCAUUUCUAAUCUUCUCUCUGUAAUCACAACUAGCACCAGAGAAAGCUCGUACCCAGCAACGGAAACCGCAAAGACUACUAAACCCAGUUCCAGGAUUACCUCUCACCAGAAGAUUCCAUUGAGCAGAUCUGUUCGCUUUCGAAGCAAUCGCAAAGGAUCGUCUCAUCUUCUCUCGAUUUGGCUUCAGCUCUCCUUGGCGAUUUCUCUGUAUAAUCGAGCUGCAAUGUGCAAACCCCUAAAUGAACGAAACUAACCACUGACUCUCUGAGACUGAGUCUGAGGAUGAGACUCGCAAGACUUUCGUUUCGUAUUAUUUCAAUAAAGUUUUCUUCUUUUUUUUUUGGAAAUGAAAUACAAAACCACACCUUUUUUUUUGCCGUCAAAACCACAAAAUGAAGAAUGGUUUAUUGGUUUGUUGUCAAACCCACUGAACUAGUUUGUCCUUUGUCGUUUAAGUCCAACAAAAUGAGAACCCACUCAGAGUUUAUUGAGCAUUUGCGAGAGAGAGAAAGCAACUCGUACCGGGUUUAUUAGAGUGUAUAUAGUCAAUAUACAUGUACAUAUUAGUUUCGGUUUAAGGGCUCUGGAAUGUCCGGUUUUAUGAUGUAAUUAUUGGUUAGCUUUGGUUUAGUCUUUCUGCUUGUAUAUAAGCGAUGUAACAAACUUUCUGGGAAAUUAAUGAGGAUUAGUUUCUUAACAAACUUGCUUGUAUAUAAUUUUGGUUGUACCGAAAGGAGGGUCACGAGGUGAAAGUGAUUGCUCAACCCGGUUUAGUCUGAAGAUUGCUUUUUUCACAACAAUUAUUUGGUGAAGAUUUGCUUACCGAAAGGAGACUGAAGAUUGCUUAACCCGGUCUAGGAUUUGUUUAAUUUGGUGAAGAAGAAAGGCAACAAUUAUUCAGUCCUUCGCUUCUUCACAGAUUCAUUUUCUUCGGUUUUAUUUGUAUCUUGCAAAAAUAUUGUUGUCUGGAAUCAAUAAAAGCUCUUAAGGAAGAGUUCGUAGCUCAAUUAAAGAAGCAAGAUUAGUCCGGUUUUUAGGUUUUUGUUUUGGUUCUACCAAAAGGAGACUCACUAUGAUACUUAACCCGUUUAGUUGUUGGAUUGUUUCCGAAUUUUUAUUACCGACCGGUUCACUCUGUUUGGUUUUUUAUAUUUUAGUGUCACUAACUAUAAUAUACUAACGAAGUCACCUAAAGUAAAUGUUAAAACAUGAAAGGCCUGAUUUAGAAAAUAUGAAAUACUUUAGUGAGGUUAAACGAUACUGAGUGAGAGGAUACUGAGAAAACCAUAGAAAUCCAAUAUAAGCUUAAUUCGGUUUCUCAGAAACUGAACCGGAUCAAGAAUCAAUACAAGUGGUAGUAAGUGGAUACAGUGUACAUUUCAUAUGUUUAAUCAUAAAUUUCCGACGAAUGCUUCUUGCUCUCACACACUAUUAUGAUCCAAAAUAGACAUUUGCUCACAAAACCAAUUAUCAUAGAUCAAAUUCAUUGUAGAAAAAAUACACUAUAAGAGAAGAUGGUUGCUCCUUCUGUUACACUAUUUCGAUGUAAUGAUGGUACGAUUCAUUUACUCCUUUAAGAAAAAGAAAACAAAAAAAAAAAAAUGUCAAAAUCCAUGAUGCUUUGGUGUGUUGCUUUGUUGUCAAUGUGUAAUUGGAUCUCGAUUGGAGUAUUUGUAUGUACAAAUGUGGAAAUCUUUUUCUUAAAUUAACAGCAUUCUAUACUACACACCUGAUAUUAUUAAAUUGUAAGUUUUAGGGGUUUGAUUUUUAUCCUUUAGACUAAGUCAGCAUAUUAUUUUUUAAAAAGGGAUUAAUGAGGAUUCUUGUUGUCAACUGACAUGAUCAUAUAACUUAAAAACUCAAAAUUGUCUACCUCAAGUAUCAUAAACUUGUAUCUCAAGAACAGUUAAUUAUAUAAAAUUAGUCAAACAACAGAAUGUAAUAACUUACGCCGCAAGAAGCAGACUUUGUAUUUGGAAGUUUUACAAUAACUUCACACAACAGACUUGUUGCACUCAUUUUCCCGGGAAAAAGUCACUCUUUUAUAGAUAUAGAGAUAGAACCCACAAGAAGAUGUUCAACUUUAUAAUCAAUGGCAUGGAGAUCAUCUGGAGAACAGCUGUUUCAACGUGAAUGCUCUUUUUCGUCUUGAGAUAUUUCAGUUAUCUUACAAAUUCUUUUCAAUUUUGUAAUCUCACAAGAUAUUACUAUGAUGAUGACGAUGAUUGAUUUAGCUAUUAGUGUAGUUUUCAUGAAGUUGAUUAUGAUGGUGAUAUAUGGAAUGUUGAUGAAGAUUAUAUCCAAUGGAAUCAAGAUGAUUGUGAUGAUGGUAUUGAAAACCAUGAUGAUGAUGAUCAUGCCCAUGGUAAUGGUGAUGAUUAUACCUUGACGAGUAGUAGCGAGGAUUACAUUGCAAUUUGCAAACGUUUACAAUGGAUGGAGAGAAGAGAGGCAUGCAGAGAAUCUGUUUGUCUGACAUUUUCAUAACUCUGUUUUUUUUCUUUCUCUCUGUACAUUACGAAGAAAUUAUUGUGGUGUGUGCAUAAAUGUGGUUCUUGUGCAUUGAGUGGAAUCAAUCUUGGUUUCAUCAGCACCAUUUUAUAACUGAUGUUCUUUGAUCGUAGCGACUUGUAAUUAUCAUUCAGAAACAAACAAGAACAAAAACAAAAGCGUCAAGAGAUUAAUAUAUACUUUCUGACGUGAAUAAGCUCACUUCGACAUUACAAUGCAUUAUAUUGGGAGAAUUUCUAUGAAAGCAGAAGGAUUUCGAGAAAAGAAACAAAGCUAACUUCUCCCUCAAGGCAGGAACGGCUUUUGAAAUCUGAAAUCUUCUUAAAGGAGCUUCUUUGAGUUAUGGCCACUGAAAUUAUCUCGACGAGUGUUUAACAGACACAACAGUAACCAAAUAGAAAAAUACUUUAAAAGAGACCUGAAACCAUAGAGCAUUCAAGAUAUUACUAUCAUCAUGAUGAUAUUUUUACCUAUUCACAGUUGUCCUGUUUAAGGAGAGCUUCUUGGAAGCAGUAAGGACUAACGUUGAAGCACGAGGCCAUGGACUUUGAAGAUCUGUUAUUAUGUCAGUAACAUAUUCGAGUGGACGUGAACAUUCCUUUGAUGGAGUUAACCAUGACUCUAGAGACAGAACAUAACAAAUCUUGAAUCAACAAAACUGCCAUUAACUUUUGUUAUAAAAAGGGAGAACAAACAGACUCAAAUAUUCAAAAUGAAAAUAGAGCCUUUGGGACCAUAAUCCAUUUCUAGGCAUUGAUUCACUUAAUCCACUUCAUAAAACAAAAGACAUAAUUUAUCGACCCAAAAAGAAAAAAACAUCAUUUAUGCUAAGUAACCGUAUAUUCUCAGAAAAAGUAUUUCAUUCUAUCAAGUUAAAGAGGAGAGCAUUUCAGAAGCAGAAGGAUGUUGAGACAGAGACGUCUUCUAAAACUGAAAUCUUCGUGAAGGGUGUUUGGAUCAACUCUUGUUUGCAUCCUAACAGGUAAAUGACAAAGCACAAAAUCAGUCAUAUUCAUGAAGCUAGAAACACCAGUAACUAAAUAUACACUUAUCUAUCCACCGACGACAUAAGAAACACAUGUUUAGAAGCAAUCAAUAUAAAAGCAACAUCAAACAUUGAUUUACCUCACAGAUGUUGCUAUCAAAGGAACAAGGUUGCUCUACAAUUCUCUCCAGGAUAACAGUGUUUUAAGAAAGCAUCUUCAGAAAGCUUUUGUCUAAUCUCCCAUCAUGCAACAUAUUAGUGACCAAACUUAUUGUUGAAGCAUCUCCACAGAACUUGCAACUCCUCAUUUCCUUGAUGAGUUUGACUGAUGUUAC
rnacentral:lncRNA from 1 species